AUGCAAAAUAAAAUAUCCAGGUUUGCGAGUGUGCAACUCCAAAGACGAAGAGCUCAUACGAGGGUAUUCCAAGACGAAGUGCUCUCCGAAGACGAAGAGCUCAGUCAUUCUCAUUAUUUUUCGGCAAUAUCCAGAAUUUGGAAGAAAUUGUUGUGCCCGAGCUGAGAUUUUGCUGUUACUAAUGCUAAAUUUGUUGGCCCGGGCCAAGACUCUCUCUUUGUGAUUCUGAGUUUUGGAUAUUUUGGCAUCUGUUAUAGAGGAGAGGAACCAAUGUAAAUCCUUCUGCUCCAAUCCCUUUUUAUAGAUACUUUCAAUGAAUUCAAUGGUCAUUCAACACAUGGGUCAUUCAAUGUGAGGCUUCUCUCUCGUCUUCAGUUACUGAGUGUCACACACGACAAUGGAUAACCACUCUGUUCCUUAAGGCAGACAUAAACGAUGAUGUCAAGUUCAUACUAAAUCAAAAUAUAGAUGUAUAGCUGACGAGAUAUCAAAGUGAUCAGGUAAUAGAUGAAGAUAACGCAUAUAAAAUAUAUUGUCAAUUGAUUCAUGCCUUAAAGAGUACGACUUUCUGGGGAUUCUCAUAAUGCCGUUCUCGAUCAAAUGCUUUGGAUGGAUGGUACCAUUUUGCUAGCUCAGCAACUCUUGUUGUUCAAACGUUCAACAUUUGGAGGCAAGUAGAGUUACUAGAGCUACAAUUUGGAAGGCUUUGAAGAGUUGUCUUAAGACACAAACACUAUACACUAAUCUUGUGUUAUAAUUGCCAAUUAAUCACCAAGACCCAGUUAAAACAAAACCGCUCGUUGAGCUCCAACAUAUAACACAACUUGUGUCCCCCCUCUUUCUAUCUCUUCCAUUAGCCUUACAGAUCGUUAUCAUUG